rnacentral:rRNA from 1 species
GAUGAACGCUGGCGGCGUGCCUAAUACAUGCAAGUCGAGCGAACAGACGAGGAGCUUGCGCCUCUGACGUUAUAGGCGGACGGGUCAGUAACACGUGGUUAAACUAACUAUACGACUGGGAUAACUUCGGCAAACCGGAGCUAAUACCGGAUAAUAUAUUGAACCGCAUGGGUCAAUAGUGAAAGACGCUUGUGCUGUCACUAAUAGAUGGCUACGCGCCGCAUUAGCUAGUUGGUAGGGUAACGGCUUACCAAGGCAACGAUGCUUAGCCGACCUGAAAGGGAGAUCGGCCACACUGGAUCUGAGACACGGUCCCGACUCCUACGCGAGGCAGCAGUACAGACUCUUCCGCAAUGCGCGAAAGCCUGACGUAGCAACGUCGCGUGAAUGCUGAAGGUCUUAUGAUCGGUAAGCUAUGUUAUUAGUGAAGAACAAAUGUGUAAGUAACUAUGCUCGUCUUGACGGUACCUAAUCAGAAAGCCACGGCUAACUACGUG